GAUGAACGCUGGCGGCGUGCCUAACACAUGCAAGUCGAACGGACUUACAUUGAAGCCUAGCGAUAUGUAAGUUAGUGGCGGACGGGUGAGUAACGCGUGGGUAACCUGCCUUGUACUGGGGGACAACAGUUGGAAACGACUGCUAAUACCGCAUAAGCGCACAGCUUCGCAUGAAGCAGUGUGAAAAACUCCGGUGGUACAAGAUGGACCCGCGUCUGAUUAGCUGGUUGGUGAGGUAACGGCCCACCAAGGCGACGAUCAGUAGCCGGCCUGAGAGGGUGAACGGCCACAUUGGGACUGAGACACGGCCCAAACUCCUACGGGAGGCAGCAGUGGGGAAUAUUGCACAAUGGGGGGAACCCUGAUGCAGCGACGCCGCGUGAGCGAAGAAGUAUUUCGGUAUGUAAAGCUCUAUCAGCAGGGAAGAAAAAAAUGACGGUACCUGACUAAGAAGCCCCGGCUAAACUACGUG
rnacentral:rRNA from 1 species